rnacentral:lncRNA from 1 species
AUUAACCCUUCAGGUGGUGUGUGUUUGUGAGUGUCACACACUCAGUACGGUGCAGUCUAACCUGGAGCAGUAAUAAGAUCACAGAGCACUGCCUCCCUGCUCAGCUCCCAUGAUCCCUCAGCUGAUCCUGCAGCUGAUCUGGCAGGUUUGGCUCCUUUUUCCACUCAGGUCAGCACGUUGUCCACUUUCAACUUCAUCCAGGUUACUAAGUAAUGAAAUUUUCUCUGCGUUUAGUCCCACCUGAUUAAACUUAAAGAUAAUCUCACGAUGUUGAUGUGGCCUUAAACACAAUCCUUCGUUUUCGGUUCUGCUACACAUCUGUGAAGUAUAAAAUAGGAUGCAAGAACCGUCUGCACGCCGCACCUUCGAAUCAUUUGUGACAAAGAGUUUGUGAUCCGUCAGCACUCUCUGGAUUGACUCAAAAUGACUCUUCUCUUCCCCUCAGGUCCUGUUGGCAGGCUGCCUGACAUGACCUCCGGAUGAUUGGAGUUUCAUAGAGACCGAACAGGUUAUUUGUGUGUGACUCUGUUUGCGUAGUUAUUGCCACGCUUCAUGUCUCGGCCUGCUUGUAUUGUGUUUUUUUUUUCUUCUUAUGCUCGAGAACAAAAAAGUCAAGAUUAAAGUGUUGAGUCGAAGAUUGCUCAACUUUUGGGCUUUGUUUUUUCUCCUCAUCCCUUUACAGUGCACGGAGAUACAAUAAAUGAUGAAAUGUAGUCAGCGCAGCGCUUCCUGCCAGAACUGUAAAACCUCAAUAAUACAUUUUUCAAAUGCAUGAGCGAAGUUUACUACAUGUCAGCAGAGAAGAUGCCUUUUUUUAAAAACUGGUGAGCACAGUUUUCUUUAAAACAGACUUAAAGGUUUUUAUAUUUUAGUGGAGAAAUAGCAACAAAAUAUAUGUUGUAACAAACACAAAGAUCACAAUGGAGUGUUAAUGAAACAGGAAAAAAUACCUCGGUUAUGGCAGUUUUUGUCUCAAUGAUCUUGGGCAUGACUCACAUCUUUCCCAAGAAGAUCGAAUUGUCCACAGCUAAUCAUCAAAUCUUGAACCGACCAAAUAUCUUGGAUUGUUACCUUAAUCUUGAGCCGUAAAGGGAAACUCAACUCGUCAAGGCUCCCCUACAAACAAAUGACUGCUGGAAGAGAGUGGGUGAGUUGUGUUUGGUCUCUCUGCCAAAGAAACCAGGCAAAGCUAGCAGAUGUUUGAUGGCUUGUACUACCUGCUGAGACCCUAUAUGUACUGCUGAUGAAGUUGUUCGUGUGGCUAUAGAGCGGCAUUUUGGUUGCGGUUUGCACGUGUAUUGCUAUGGUGCGGUCUUCUCUUAAGUUGGUGAAACUAGAGAAGCUCAGAAGCAGUCGGCUAAAUUCAUCUCUGGAGGGGGGGUGUUAUGGUGUGUUUGACCAUGGCUUAAACUUAGGCUGGAAUAUCAUCAUGAACAUCAUAAAAUGCACAAAACGCACGAUUUGCAGCAUCUCUUUGGUCAUCCUGUCGGGAACUGUUGCUGAACAAGGUGAACUCAUGUGAAAGCUCUGAACUAAAGAAACUAGGACUGCAGAUUCUGCUAGGUGAUUGAAUUGCGCAUCGUAUCUACUAAGGCCUUUUUCGCUUCAGCAACACUUUCCAGUGUCCUUUAGAUCUGAAGACAUUCCCCAGCCAGGUUGGAUGUAUAAUCCUAAUCUAGUCCACUGUCAGGUUAAAAGAUGUCAUUGUUUAGUAGAUACCAGAAUGUUCUCACUUUGUCUUUGACCCCGAGCUUGAACCCGAGUCCUUUUUCAAUGGUUUCUCGACCCCAACUUUCCUCAUGAACCCACUUCCUCCCACACCUGUGUGAAUCAGCAGCUGAAGGGUGGAGAGCACCACCAUCAACAGAACUCUCGGUCUCCAGAAUCCAGCUCUCAUGAAGACGUUCUGGGGGGUUUUAAAGACCUCUCUGCUCUGAAACUAAAACACUGGGUCAGAGUUUCCACAGAGUCGCCAACACGCUCACUGUUAACCCAGAUUGUUGUUCUCUAAAUAAUUUGUUGUUCAUUUCUUCAGGCUGACCAUGUGCUAAUAGAAAACUCUGCAUGUGGAAAGAGACGCACAAUAGGCGGACUGUUCUCCUCUCCCACACGUCCUCUCUGUUGCUCUUGCCCUGUGUAAACACACAAGCCUGUUAAAGUGAGCUGCUCUGCUCAAAACCUCAGAAAAAACUGAUCGCUUAUCUGGUCAAGGUUUUAAAGUUUUAUAAAAGUUUCAUUUAAACUUUGCUGUGACCAAGUUGGUAGAAUUUUAGUGAUAAGAGAAGUGGACAACCUGGUACAAUGAUCCAUAAAAUCAAACUUUAGGAGCAACAGUUUCUCAAAAAACUAGUCUUAAAACUACUGACUUGAUAAAAAGAUAUUGAUUUGCAGCUGUACAAAAUAUGGGCGGUAACUUUUGACAUUAAAACUUUUAAAACUGCUGUUACUGGUUAGUUAGCUCAUAAAUGACGGAGUAAAGUUAAGGUUUUCAAAGUUUUGUCCUUAAGGAGUCGAGACACAUUCAUGGCAUAAACUUCAAUCCUGUUCAGAGCGUUUUACUCUUGUACUGAGCAGAGCCCUGCUUGUAGAGUUUCUCUGUCUGAAACAAUAUAUCAACAGAAAACACUCAUCUUUUUCUAAUUCUGCUCCAGUUUCAGUCACGAGUUCCAAACAAGAGAAAGAAAAUAACCUAAUAAUAAAAAACAAAGAACUUCUCCUGCUUGAGUGAGGCUGUAACUUCUUCUACUUAAGGUUGAGAUAUGUAGAGUUUGACCUCUGCGGGAUAAAUUAUGACUCUAUGAUCAUCCAAACUGCACCUGAAGCGCUUACAUAUAUCAAAGAUGUCUGCUAUUCUUCUGUUUGGUAAGCGAAGUUCACUAUUAAACUCUUAGCUUCUUCAUAUAGUAUCACAAAAGCAACACCGAGAAUACGACCUCCAUUAUCAAACCAAAGAAAAUGAGUCUCAGUGAACCUCAUGUGUGCUAGUUGGCAGAUCACUGAGACUCUGAUUGAACACAGACUGACUCCCCCCGCGAUGAUAAAACUCCAUAAAAACCCGUUCCAAGAAACCCGAACCCUACUUACAAAAAGAACAGAGCCAGCACAGAGUGUACGAAAUUAAUACUCUUUGGAUAGUUCGAGCGUUCUCCUGCAAUGUUCAGGAGUGUUACAGCCAAAUUCUUGCGCAGGAACGACGCCAGAGUUUGAGAUAGAGGCGCUGAUCUUCAGUGUGAGACAGGGAACUAAGGAAUUAACAAAAGAAGGCGCUCCCGCUUCUUCCCCGCCGCCCUCACUGUGUCUGAGUCUAUCAUGGCUGUCACCCAGCAUCAGUGGGCCUUAAAGGCUGAGGCUUUUUGUGCACCGCAUCCUGGACUGAUGGAGCGACUCGAAGAAUGAGGGUUUGCAUCAAGGAAACUCUGGUGUCACAGUGGCACGGAGAAAAAGGGAGGGAUGUGAGCCAGAGCUCUUUCUACUGCAGGAAGCCUUAAGUGUUCAAUCUGCGAGGCUAAUCUGGAGAGCGGAAGUUGUCCUGGAGGAAGGUCCCUGCAAAGACGCAAAACUGCUCUGCUUAGUGAGUCAGACUUCAUCUUCAAUACUCAUCCCUUUCUUCCUCUUCAAGACUUAUUUGGGCGGAUUUAACCUUUAUUAGAGAGGACAGCUUGAGAAAGAGGGAUGAGAAAAAUGUGAGAAGAGACUUCAGUCUUAGUCCCAUCACUGACUCUCUUCACCCUGUUUUCCCCACACACGUGUUCAUCCACUUCACCAGACUCAUAUGUAUGAUAUUUAAAAAAUCUAUCCCCUUAGGUUGGUCUCGCCUCUCCAGCGUCAGAGAGUAGUAUGUGGUGUAUUUUGAGUAUUUCUGGAAUGUUUAACACCAUAAACUUACUCGAAGCUGCCUAAUGGGAUGUUCAAGCAGGGAGCUGGUUAAAAUGUCUCUAACGUGAAUACCAGUGUUAUCACUCUACAAUGGCACCUGUCAGAGGUUUGGAUGUGUUGAGCAGUCAGUUAACAAGUUGUCAUUUUAAUUAAAGUGUUUGAUGUUGGAAAAAAAUGGGCACAAAAGAGUCUGUGAGCGAUUUUGACAAAUGAUAAAUUAUAAUGGUUUGACAAAUGGGUCAUGACAUCUCCAUGACUACGGCUGUUGUGGGUAGGGUGACCAUACGUCCUCUUUUACCCGGACAUGUCCUCUUUUUGGGGGGCUGUCCAGCUUUGUUGGGCUUUGUCCAGAGAAGUUUAUAGAAUCCUUCAAAUGUCUGCGGUUUUGUACGUAAGUUUCGAGUUUGUGUCACGUGGACUGACUGAGUUAGAAGCGCAAAAAACACACCUUAUCCAACCCGAAAAACUCUCAAAAUUAACUUUGUGCGACUCCUUGACUUCGCCUCCGCAUAGUCAUGUCUUCUUUUUGGAAAGUCACAAUAUGGUCACCCUAGUUGUGGGGUCAGUACCCUCUGAAAGUUAUGGAAAACUGGUUAAAGAGGUUAGUCUCACUGUUGAAGGUCCAUACAAAAGAUCAGAGCUAAAAAAUUCCUCCUCUGGAGUAAAGUCCUGGUUUUGCUGGUUCUGAUAGAAAGGUGUCAGAACCAACAGUGGAGGAAAGUUUGUUGUGUAAGGAGUUGGACAGACUGCUACUGACCUCCGAAACCUUUUGAAAAUUCAGCUGCAGUUAUUUUGGUCUCAGAUACUUCAGCACACCUGUAGAGGAGACUUGUCAGUUAAGACUGUUUUGGCCCUGACCUAGGGCAGGGCGAUAGACUGAAAAUUUACCGAUACUGAAAUUCAUGACAAUAACCAACGUCAUUUUGCCCAUAUCAGUAUAUUUGGUGUCAAAAAAAUAAAUAAAUAAAAGUUGGUUUAGGCUAUGGCCUCAUGUCCCUUUAAGACGCUUUCCAACGUCAAAAACGUGACUCCACCCCAUCCAGUCUAUAACAAAGAGGGAAAGACAGGUAAGGAGAUGGAGGACGGUUCAAAAGUUGUAGUGGCUGAAGUAGAUGAAGUUAAUGUGGGAGGGGGUUAGCAGCUUGUGGAGAAGUUAUUGUCCAUUUAUCGUUAUUGAAGUGAUAUUGAUUCGAGGCCAUAUCGCCCAGCCCUACUCUGACCCAAAUAAAGCAGAUCGAUCACUGAGACAGUAUAAAACAUGGAUGUAAUCUCACUGACGUCACCUCUUGGUUUCCAAAACUGACUUUUGAAGCCCAUUGAUGGUGGUCGCCAAAUUGGAAAUGACGAUUGAACCUAAUUUACAACCGGCCAACAAGAUAUAAAAAACUGGAGUUCACAAAGUGCUUUAAAGUACAAGUAAAUCAUGACACUCUUUGGAUAAUAAAAAAUAAUCCAAACAAUAGGCAAUAACAACUGGUAAAUAAUUGACGUUUAGUUCAUGUGAGGUCAAACCAGAAGACAAAAACUUUGCAAAAACAAAAAAUUAUACACAGCAGAAAGAAAAAGAAAAAGAUUUUGGAAGCAAUAAAGGAAACAAAUUAAAACUCAGGAAAUGAAAGUCAAACAAAGAAUUGUAAGCAAGUGGAAAACAAUGAAUAAUAAAAGAAGUGGACCAUGGUUUUUCUGGUUGCACACAGAAGAUCUGUAGCUGAGGGAAAGCACUUUUAGACCUCUGAAAUUACACUGCGACUUUUUCCAAGGAAGUGCUUCAUAAAAAUUAAAGAUCACCGACCACAACGAACAAACGUAAGCUCGCAAGAUCAUGGAGGGACAACUUGGCUAAUCCUCAAGCCUGAGAACCAUCUGGACCCGCAGACCGUGCUCAUAUCUGAUCUCUGUGAAAUUGGAAGGCAGACCAGCGCUGAGUUCGUUUUUAUUGUGUCGUUUCAUAAGAGCUGCCCACCUGCUAAGACGAGCUUCAUGUCAUAACGAGGCCUGACGCACAUUCCCCUCCUGGGCGCUGCGGUUCCUCAGGUUUCUGUACGCUGCUGAGUGAGGGGAUCUGAAGCAGCUGAUAGUGUGGUGUUGAAAACAGCUCGGAGGCAUGAUGGGCUAAUUCAGCGUGGACUUGAGCAUGUCGCCGUGCUGAGGCCUCGUCUCUUGCUACCCCUCACAUGGGCCUGGAACACAACCGUGUCAUCCGCCUUUCUCCUCUCUUGCGACGUGUUUUCAGACGACCUAUACAUCAUCGGCCCUGAAACAAAAGACAGGCUUUGUCUUCUCUGGCUUGCGAAAACUUCUGGGAAUUCUGAGUGAGAUGCACCAGUUGCUGCAUUCUUCAAAUAUGUCACUUUCUCCCACAUAGUUUCAGUCUGACUAGAUGUGCGGACACGACUAGGAGCAACACGGCCGCAGACCGGGCUGAUGAUUGAGGCUGCAGAGCUGGAAUGUACGCCAAGUUUAUUACCGCGUUGCUCAAGCGAGAGAGAGAUCCAACCUGACAAAGUCGUGCAAGGUGUCAGCAGAGAUACAAACCCCAUGUCUGUCUUCAGAUAUGGCUGGCACUUCAAAAUGACAGGGUUCCUGUUUACCAAGAGGAAUGAGCUCAGCUGCAUUUCUGACGGACUGGAAAGGAGCCAGAGAGGGAUGAUGACAGGCAGACGGCCUCUCGAUGAUAUCAGCGCCUUCCAAUCUGCCUCUGCAUACCACAAGAUAUCGGACAUGCUUGUGUGGCUGCAGUUUACAGUUUAUCUCCCUGAGAUAGCAGACUUAAUCAAACAGGUCGAGACCGGCUCUGAAAAAGAGCGUCACUUGUGGUAUUUACCAACCUGGGUUCUCAGAGGUUUAACAUUGAAGGGGGAGAUUGUUGAAAUUUAACUCCAGACAUCACAGAUCUAAUCCAAACGGAUCAAUCUAGUGUAUCUUUUAAACCGAGAGGAGAAAAUGCCAGAGAGCGACACAAUGGGCUUGUUCAGUGUCUGCUGUUUAACCGAAAACAGCUCUCCUAGCGAGGGGGUUUAAUGGUUGACAAGCCUGGUUUCAGCUUUUCCCAUAAAGAGACAUUAAAGGGACAAACCGUAGAGUUAAAGAAGAGGGAGCAGAUCACACACACAUAAAAAUCACAUCCUGUCAGCAGCCUAUUCUACUUUACGGCUGCUUUUUCACCUGGAGGCGAGCUCGGGGGCGUAAAAGUGAGUCACACUCAGCAAGAGUUUGGGACAACAAAAACAACCCCUCCCCCCAAAAAACUCCAGCAGGCCCCUCUCUCUACUCCCCCCGUACCACCUCACAAUCCUGAGCCACAUAACACAUAUUUACCAAACAGACCUAAUCCUUUAAUAUGAACUACACCUCACUGCCUCUCUGUUCGACGUCAGGUUUCCUCUCACAGUCGAUACAAGAAAAAAAGGAGCACACUGUAUGAUUAACUGUCUGUUUUUCACUCUGCUGUUAUCUGUCAUCGAUUUGUUUUUUUCUCUCUCUCUUUCUCUCCCCCCUCCUGUGCCUCGAUCCCCGCUCCCAGCAGCAGUGAAUCUUCUGACAGGUGGAGAGUGAGAGCCAAACCUGCCUCCUUUCAGCUGCAGCGAGAGGGAAAAUAACAAACUGGCAGCAAGUGAUGGGGCAACUGGAAUAACAAGAAGCGGGAAAACGCGCCUUACUUGGACGAGAUUAAUUUCUGUGGGAAAUUAAAGCGUGUGUUUUAUGUAGGAGGGUGUUUCUCUCACUGAGUGCGUUACACAAAACAAUUCAUUUGUCUGAGGCCGCAACUGCAAAACCCUCUGAUGAUAGACUUAUCAGGAAAAUUAUAUCUGUCUUUAUAUUAUUUUGUCUAUAGAGAGUCAAAGAUAACGAGAAGGUCUAACACAAUCCUCCAAAGGCCCAAGGUGACAUUUUUAGAGGGUUUGUUGUGUCUGACAGACACUUUGACAGACUUCUGCAAAUGAGUAAUACUUGGAAACUUUCGCAAUCGUUGGCUUCAACCAGCUUGUUUCGAAAACUGUUGAUUACUAAACCUGAUGGUGUUUUGUUGUUUGUUUUCUUAAAGAUAUUAAAAGCUCUCUCAAAAAUGUACAUGAAAACUAAAAUUUUUGUCUGAUGGAGAGUGUGUUCUUACACCUUAUUAGC